rnacentral:rRNA from 1 species
UACGUAGGGUGCAAGCGUUGUCCGGAAUUAUUGGGCGUAAAGAGCUCGUAGGCGGUCUGUCGCGUCGGCUGUGAAAACUCGGGGCUCAACCCCGAGCCUGCAGUCGAUACGGGCAGACUAGAGUCCGGCAGGGGAGACUGGAAUUCCUGGUGUGGCGGUGAAAUGCGCAGAUAUCAGGAGGAACACCGGUGGCGAAGGCGGGUCUCUGGGCCGGAACUGACGCUGAGGAGCGAAAGCGUGGGGAGCGAACAGG